CACGUAGGCACCAAGCGUUGUCCGGAUUUAUUGGGCGUAAAGAGCUCGUAGGCGGUUCAGUAAGUCGGGUGUGAAAACUCUGGGCUUAACCCAGAGCCGCCACCCGAUACUGCUGUGACUUGAGUUCGGCAGGGGAGUGGGGAAUUCCUGGUGUAGCGGUGAAAUGCGUAGAUAUCGGAAGGAACACCGGUGGCGAAAGCGGCGCGCUGGACCUCUUCUGACGCUGAGGCGCGAAAGCCAGGGGAGCGAACGGG
rnacentral:rRNA from 1 species